UUUUAAGUAUUAGCAUAACGUCACAGUAACCAACCGAAACAUUAUUUUUUGACCCCGAUUACGAAUAGACGCUUAUGGAUUUGGAAAACUUUCAUUUUACCAAAAGAUGGUUCGUGAAGUCUACUUUUAGACAGUGUACUCCGUUAAGAGUUUUUCCAGCCGGAACAUCGCUAAACAUUCGGUGGUAAACGGUAGGUAGUAACGCACGGUGAAGGAACCCACAGGAAAUGGUCAACUUUGGACCCCGAUUAACAUAUGCGUUUUAACAUAGCACCAUUUUCAAACCGAUAUGCCGAGGUGUUCCGGGACACAUUGAACCCCGUACAUGGUUAGGGCUCCCUUUAAGCUCCCGAAAUAUUUUAGAGGAUUCAGGCACCGAUUCGGAGAAACG